CGGAUGUAGCCAAGUGGAUCAAAUCAAAC
rnacentral:tRNA from 1 species